rnacentral:piRNA from 1 species
UACAUGAUGUCUUUCCUGUGGUGGCUAUAG